UGGGGAAUAUUGCACAAUGGGCGAAAGCCUGAUGCAGCAACGCCGCGUGAGUGAUGAAGGUCUUCGGAUUGUAAAGCUCUGUCUUUUGGGACGAUAAUGACGGUACCAAAGGAGGAAGCCACGGCUAACUACGUGCCAGCAGCCGCGGUAAUACGUAGGUGGCGAGCGUUGUCCGGAUUUACUGGGCGUAAAGGGUGCGUAGGCGGAUGUUUAAGUGAGAUGUGAAAUACCCGGGCUUAACUUGGGUGCUGCAUUUCAAACUGGAUAUCUAGAGUGCAGGAGAGGAGAAUGGAAUUCCUAGUGUAGCGGUGAAAUGCGUAGAGAUUAGGAAGAACACCAGUGGCGAAGGCGAUUCUCUGGACUGUAACUGACGCUGAGGCACGAAAGCGUGGGUAGCAAACAGGAUUAGAUACCCUGGUAGUCCACG
rnacentral:rRNA from 1 species